rnacentral:hammerhead_ribozyme from 1 species
GUCUAACUGACGAGCCUCAAAUAGGACGAAACAUGCGUCUUAGAU